AUGAUUUUUAAUUUUAGUUCAAGAAGUUGGUGGUAUUGCUUUGACAAUCAUUUAGCCCGCUGGACUAAGGAACCUACGCACUAUUUCCUGCUCCCUAUCACUGGACCUCACUGGCGGCCACAGGAAUGGAGUCGUAGGACACCACGCCCGGGGCCACCCAGUUGUGGUGGUUUGCAUGUGCCUCCCCCGUGCUCUUCUCGGCAGCCUGAUGGGGUUUGCGGGGGAAGAGCAUGCAGAGCCUGGCCCCAGGCUAAAUCUCUCCGAGCAGUAAAAGUUCUUCCACAGUGUCUCCUACAAACUGUUGCCUGGUUUCUUCACUUUGCUUUGAUGUUUUCUGCAGUUACUGAGAUAAAGGAGUCACGAAAAGUUAAAUGUUCCCAAGUGACUGAUGAGUUAGGGGUACAGUAUUGAGAAGGAUCGACUGAAACACAGGUUCCGUGCAUCAGGUGGGUGUCAGCUUCCUGAGCCAUGCCCACUUAAAUCCAAACAAGUAUGUUUUGCAUCGUGCCUUUCAAAGCCCCUCUUCUGUUUGCCAAGAUGGGUUCAUUCAGUAACUCGUUGUUGGCUUGUUUCCUCAGCAGGAAUCUGUCCGGCUCCUAUUAUAAGUUUGUUGGGCUGGUGCUGGGCUCUGC
rnacentral:lncRNA from 1 species